UCUCUGCUCUUGAAUAGGAGGCGCAGUCCUCUUUCUUACAGUUAGGCUUUCUUCCCAACCAAUUGUUCAAGCGCUUUUGAUUGCUACAUGCGCCUUAAUUUAGUUCAACAAAGAAACUGACAAGUUUCUA